CCUGCGGGUGGCUGCAGUGGGGAAUAUUGGACAAUGGGCGAAAGCCUGAUCCAGCCAUGCCGCGUGUGUGAAGAAGGCCUUCGGGUUGUAAAGCACUUUCAGUGGGGAAGAAAGCCUUGGGGCUAAUACCCUCGAGGAAGGACAUCACCCACAGAAGAAGCACCGGCUAACUCCGUGCCAGCAGCCGCGGUAAUACGGAGGGUGCGAGCGUUAAUCGGAAUUACUGGGCGUAAAGCGCGCGUAGGCGGUCUGAUAAGCCGGUUGUGAAAGCCCCGGGCUCAACCUGGGAACGGCAUCCGGAACUGUCAGGCUAGAGUGCAGGAGAGGAAGGUAGAAUUCCCGGUGUAGCGGUGAAAUGCGUAGAGAUCGGGAGGAAUACCAGUGGCGAAGGCGGCCUUCUGGACUGACACUGACGCUGAGGUGCGAAAGCGUGGGUAGCAAACAGGAUUAGAUACCCCGAGUAGUC
rnacentral:rRNA from 1 species